rnacentral:rRNA from 1 species
AGAGUUUGAUCCUGGCUCAGGAUGAACGCUGGCGGCGUGCCUAACACAUGCAAGUCGAGCGAUUCUCUUCGGAGAAGAGCGGCGGACGGGUGAGUAACGCGUGGGUAACCUGCCCUGUACACACGGAUAACAUACCGAAAGGUAUGCUAAUACGAGAUAAUAUGCUUUUAUCGCAUGGUAGAAGUAUCAAAGCUUUUGCGGUACAGGAUGGACCCGCGUCUGAUUAGCUAGUUGGUAAGGUAACGGCUUACCAAGGCGACGAUCAGUAGCCGACCUGAGAGGGUGAUCGGCCACAUUGGAACUGAGACACGGUCCAAACUCCUACGGGAGGCAGCAGUGGGGAAUAUUGCACAAUGGGCGAAAGCCUGAUGCAGCAACGCCGCGUGAGCGAUGAAGGCCUUCGGGUCGUAAAGCUCUGUCCUCAAGGAAGAUAAUGACGGUACUUGAGGAGGAAGCCCCGGCUAACUACGUGCCAGCAGCCGCGGUAAUACGUAGGGGGCUAGCGUUAUCCGGAAUUACUGGGCGUAAAGGGUGCGUAGGUGGUUUCUUAAGUCAGAGGUGAAAGGCUACGGCUCAACCGUAGUAAGCCUUUGAAACUGGGAAACUUGAGUGCAGGAGAGGAGAGUGGAAUUCCUAGUGUAGCGGUGAAAUGCGUAGAUAUUAGGAGGAACACCAGUUGCGAAGGCGGCUCUCUGGACUGUAACUGACACUGAGGCACGAAAGCGUGGGGAGCAAACAGGAUUAGAUACCCUGGUAGUCCACGCCGUAAACGAUGAGUACUAGCUGUCGGAGGUUACCCCCUUCGGUGGCGCAGCUAACGCAUUAAGUACUCCGCCUGGGAAGUACGCUCGCAAGAGUGAAACUCAAAGGAAUUGACGG